GACGAACGCUGGCGGCGGGCUUAACACAUGCAAGUCGAACGGUUAAGCGCCUUCCGUUUUUGGGGGUGGGGAUGAGUGGCGAACGGGUGAGUAACACGUGAGUAACCUGCCCCCUUCUUCUGGAGAACCGCAGGAAAGUUUGGCUAAUACUGGAGAGGCUGGGUCUGGCGCAUGAUGGGUCUGGGAAAGAUAUGGUUUCGGUGGGUGAUGGGCGCGCGGACUAUCAGCUUGGUGGUGGGGUGAUGGCCUACCAAGGCGGUGACGGGUAGCCGGGCUGAGAGGGUCGACCGCACUAGUGCGGCUGCGCCACCGAGACGCCUACUACGGGCGGCAGCAGUGAAUAAUAGUGCAUGAUGGGCGCACGGAUGCUGCAGCGCCGCGGGGUGAGGGAUGGAGGUCGUAUGGUAGAGCACCUCUUGUGGCAGUGAAGCAGGGUUACCUAGUUUCUGGCUGGGUUGACGGUAGCUGGAGAAGAAGCGCCGGCUAACUACGUG
rnacentral:rRNA from 1 species